CUUGAGCGGGAGUAUUUUUUUACAGAGGUUUCACUACCGAACCGAACCCAUAUAUUAUUCGUAGGAGGUUCUCACAAACCGAACCCCAACCAUUUCUUCAGCACACAAGCUUCUCUUUCUUCUCCUUUGUAGGAUUGGUCGCCCCAUCUAAAGCUCCCUUCGAUUACAAGCUCUCAUUCAACUUGUGUAUCAAUUUGCGUAUGUGAUACUAACAGUGUGCGGGUUUUCAACAGUGUGGAGUUUUUGAUUCAUCCUGGUAAAAAGGUAGGUUUGAGGGAGAUAGGCAAUGGGAGAAAUAAUUAGUAUAUUUAUUUCAAUGAGUCAUCAAGCAGCCAAUGAAGUUUUUGGUUUGCAGCAGCCAGUGGAGUUUGCUGUUUCUGUUUGUUUUAGUGCAGUGAGAUUUUCGGUCAGGUGGGCCUAUCCACGAUGUAGUUUUGUUCUGCUUCAAGCUAUUCACACUACCAUUUUGGUUUGCUAUGGCCUAUCCUCAGAGUUGUUACGUUCUUUAGCGGGCAUCAACAACGCUCCGAUCUUGUGCGAAUUAGUUGUCUCUUAAAAAUCGUGUACUAAAUGGUGGCAUUAGUCUGUACUAUAAGUAUAUUAAUAAAAUUGAAUAGGAAUGAUGUUGAGAGAACUAUUAAUAAAAUUGAAUAGGAAUGAUGUUGAGAGAACUAAUGGAAUUAGGAUUCAAAAUACAUGCAUGUAUGGAACUUGUAUUGAGUUUAGAGUGGGGUGUUGAAGUUAUUAGAUGAGGGGGCUUAUGCAUCUCCAUUUACUCCAAGUUGGAGUUCUCUGUAUCAUUGGACAUUUAUUGUAAUGUAAUUUGAAAUAGCUAAUUUUAUAAAUUUAUAAAUUUAUCUUAUUUAUUGCGUAUUCAACUAAUUUCUUAUUGCAUAUUCAACUAAUUUCGAAAAAAAAAUCCAAAUAACCAUGUUUAAUAAUUUAUUUACACCAAAAACCAUGUUUUCGGCAAAAUUACGCAUAUGACCAGGUUUCAGAGGUGGUCUCCACAUAGGAGCCACCUCAGGUGGCGCC